GACGAACGCUGGCGGCGUGCUUAACACAUGCAAGUCGAACGGAAAGGCCUCCUUCGGGGGGUACUCGCGUGGCGAACGGGUGAGUAACGCGUGAGUAACCUGCCCGUGACUCUGGGAUAACUUCAGGAAACUGGGGCUAAUACCGGAUAGUAGCUCCGGCUGCCUGGUGGGGGUUGGAAAGUUUCGGCGGUUGGGGAUGGACUCGGGGCUUAUCAGCUUGUUGGUGGGGUAGUGGCGUCCCAAGGCUUUGAGGGGUAGCGGGCCUGAGAGGGGGACGGGCCCCAUUGGGGCUGGGAGACGCCCCAGACACUUCCGGGGGGCGGAGGUGGGGAGUAUUGCGCAAUGGGGGGACGCCUGUGACCGCACCGCCGUGUGCGGAAUAAGGGCCUUGGGGUUGUGAACCGCUUUCGCUGAUGGGAAGGCUUUAGGGAAGGGAAGUGGAUAAGAAGCGACGGCUAACUACGUG
rnacentral:rRNA from 1 species